rnacentral:rRNA from 1 species
UAAUACGUAGGGCGCAAGCGUUAUCCGGAAUUAUUGGGCGUAAAGAGCUCGUAGGCGGUCUGUCGCGUCUGCUGUGAAAACCCGAGGCUCAACCUCGGGCCUGCAGUGGGUACGGGCAGACUAGAGUGCGGUAGGGGAGAUUGGAAUUCCUGGUGUAGCGGUGGAAUGCGCAGAUAUCAGGAGGAACACCGAUGGCGAAGGCAGAUCUCUGGGCCGUAACUGACGCUGAGGAGCGAAAGGGUGGGGAGCAAACAGGCUUAGAUACCCUGGUAGUCCACCCCGUAAACGUUGGGAACUAGUUGUGGGGACCAUUCCACGGUUUCCGUGACGCAGCUAACGCAUUAAGUUCCCCGCCUGGGGAGUACGGCCGCAAGGCUAAA